CGAGUUCGUGAGAGUUCGUUCGUCAGAGUGCGUGUGAGUCGGACUGCGCACCGUUCGUGUUUGGUGAGCACGAGGAAACUUGGGGUUGGCUAGCUGGAGCUAGGCUAACGCUGCGGUUCCCGCUGUCGGAGGACGUGACGGCGCUGCUGUGGGCGGAGACUGCCGAUCACCACGAGCGGGGGGUUCGUCAGGAGCGGCCCGGCCCGGCUGAUUUAUCCACGGAGCCCUGUGUCCUAGCUGGUCGCUGGCAUGGUCCGUUGGUGCUCCUGCCUGAAGGGAAGACCGAGCCAGAACCCUGGAAUGAGCAGUCUCUGCACCACAGUGAGGAGUUGCUGGCACAGGGGGGACGGCAGAAGGCCCUUUGUGAAGUUCAAGGCAGUGGAGUUGAGAUUUCAGCAAGUUCCAGGAGGUUCAUUAAGAAAGCCUUUUCCAAGAAAAGAACUGUCCAACUCGAAGGAGAGGGAACUGGACCAACUGCCUACUCGGGUGAUAUGGAUCUCUGAGUUCUAAUAUCAAUACUGACCAUUUUUAUUCUUUAAGACAUUGCUCAUUAUUUAAUUCAAGGAACAAACUCUUCCAUGUGUUGGAAACCUCUUGGUGAAGCAAAGCAGCUGAUUUGAAACUUAACAUUUACGUUUCCCAUGUGUGUACAGUAAGCAUAUUGUGCUUAUUCAUGAAGCUAUAAACACAAGAUAUUUGCAUUUGUUAUGUUAAACAUCACGUGUGACUCUGCUUUUUUCUAAAUCUGAGGAUUUCUUUACGUAGCAUAGUGUAAAUCCAUAU